ACACACACACACACACACACACACACACACACACACACACACACACGAAAGCACACCGUUGUCUUUCUGCCCUUCUCCCCACAAGGCUCUUCAGGCUUCUGAAAACAGCUCCUGGCAUGAGUUUCCCCAGGAGGUCCCACACAUCUUGCAACAGACACACAGAUAGCUACCUCAACCUGGGCUCACCGACCCCCACUAACCACCCCAGUACUUUCCUCGUGUUGGCUUGGAUGGAUGUUUAUUGUGAUAAUGUCUAGUCUUCCUUAUCCUCUCAAAGCUCAAGAUAACAAGGAGACAGGAGCUCAAUGGAGUGAGACAUAAGCUGGAAACUGACCCCAUUUCAGGUGGGUAUAGGGAUUCAUGGGUUCCAGCUACCAAAUCCACCCAACCCCGCAGUUUUAUCUCUCUGAGUUUCCCUCUCAUUUGGACACUUGACCAUCCAAAUCCCAUGUCAACUUUGAGAAGGAACUCUGUCACUGUCACUCACCCUUCUGUUCACUUGGCAGGUGACCUACUAGGAGAUGCAUCGCUUAAUGAAGAAUAAGACCGAAUCCCCUCUGGGGAGUUCAGAGACCGUAGUAGAAAAUGGAAGAGUAGACAUUAGUUCAUGUGUCAGCGCCAUGAUGAUGUAUAUUGGGAAGGGCUCCCCAAAAGACUCAGUGUUCAAGAUGAAAGAGCUGAAAGGUCACUAAAGGUCACAAACCAAAGGAGUGGCGCCUGCUUCCUGGCUUGGCGGCAUUUGGGGCCAAGGAAGAAGAUGUGGAACGUGACCAGAAAGCUGCAGUCUCCUCUAAAAACCAGGGGAGAGCAAUCGAUGUUUGUACUCCAGAAGAAAAUCAACACAAGAUUUACAUCAGUGAAUUCAGAAGAAAUAACUUCCCCCAAAGUAACUAUGGAGCAUUAAUACAGCUGGAGAUGGUGUUGAAAAGAUUUCUGAAGCCAGCCAGCAGGCUUUGUUUCCGGUUUGGUUAAAUGGUUCAUUGCUCAAGCACGGUGGAAACGUGAGGGACAUGCACAUUUGACGAGCCCCCGAGUGUAGGGGGUGUGUACGUGUGUGCGUGUGUGCGAAUAUGUGACAGGCGCUGUUUCACGACACUUUAAUCUCCUGCCUCAGACGUCUACAGAGCAACGAGAUUGCUUUCAACAUAAAAUGAUACCCACGUCAAAACCCACCAUUGGGUUGAGAAACAAAGCAAAACAAAAUGUAAAGGCAGCCUGAACCAAUCUCAUGCUUGGUCACAGCUCUUUAGUCUGGAAUGAGUUUAAGACGAAGGUUGGGAACUGGAAAUAAGUGACCUAAGCGAAUGGUCUGAGGCACAGGGCUGUCAGAGGAGCACAAUUUAUUCUUUCUGCUUCAGAUCUUGGAAACUAGAUCCAAUGUUAGUAAAGAUUGCAUUUUGCCACCUACCUUGCAGACAGGGACUUCCGGAAAUCUUACCAGAGCUGUUUUAUAGGUGGAGAUGCUGAGGAACCAAGAGGUAAGAAGGCUUCUUAAAGACAUAGUUAAGAUUCUGGGAUCAUGGGGGGGGGCAAAUGGGAUGGGAAUAGGGGCUUUUAGCUCAGAGAUGUGACCUUUGUGGGAGCUCUGGGGCUUUUCCAUGCAUCUGCUUUCUGAUUUGGGGUAACAUUGGCUUCAGGGGUCAUCACUACCUGCAGGCCCAGAGGUUUCCUCGUGGAUAGUAAAACAUGACAACUGGUUAAGUACACCAGAAGGCUCAUGCCAUCUCCCCAGACAAUGUCCUCACCUCCUGUCCUGGAAUUCAAGUACAAUAAAAUAAGGCUUUGGAUCCGCA